rnacentral:tRNA from 1 species
GGGGAAUUAGCUCAGUGGUAGAGCACUUGCCUAGCAAGCGCAAGGCCCUGGGUUCGGUCCCCAGCUCUG